rnacentral:rRNA from 1 species
AUCAAUAAGCGGAGGAAAAGAAACCAACAGGGAUUGCCUUAGUAACGGCGAGUGAAGCGGCAACAGCUCAAAUUUGAAAUCUGGCCCUUGGGUCCGAAUUGUAAUUUGUAGAGGAUGAUUUUGGUGCGGUAUCUUCCGAGUUCCUUGGAACAGGACGCCUUAGAGGGUGAGAGCCCCGUACGGUUGAAUGCCUAGCCUCUGUAAAUCUCCUUCGACGAGUCGAGUAGUUUGGGAAUGCUGCUCUAAAUGGGAGGUAAAUUUCUUCUAAAGCUAAAUAUUGGCCAGAGACCGAUAGCGCACAAGUAGAGUGAUCGAAAGAUGAAAAGCACUUUGAAAAGAGGGUUAAAUAGCACGUGAAAUUGUUGAAAGGGAAGGAUUUGUGACCAGACUUUUUCUGGGCGGAUCAUCCGGGGUUCUCUCCGGUGCACUUCGCCCAGUAAAGGCCAGCAUCGGUUUUCGGCGUGGGAUAAAAGCAGUAGGAAUGUGGCUCUCUACGGGGAGUGUUAUAGCCUAUUGUAUAAUACCGCGCUGGGGACCGAGGUUCGCGCUUCUGCAAGGAUGCUGGCGUAAUGGUUAUCAAUCACCCGUCUUGAAACACGGACCAAGGAGUCGAACAUUUGUGCGAGUGUUUGGGUGUUAAACCCUCACGCGUAAUGAAAGUGAACGGAGGUGAGAGCCCUUACGGGUGCAUCAUCGACCGAUCCUGAAGUUUUCGGAUGGAUUUGAGUAAGAGCAUAACUGUUCGGACCCGAAAGAUGGUGAACUAUGCGUGGAUAGGGUGAAGCCAGAGGAAACUCUGGUGGAGGCUCGCAGCGGUUCUGACGUGCAAAUCGAUCGUCAAAUCUGCGCAUGGGGGCGAAAGACUAAUCGAACCAUCUAGUAGCUGGUUACC